rnacentral:lncRNA from 1 species
GUUGGGAUCGCGCUCAAGGGCGUCGAGGCGCUCACUGGCGUCGUCGGCACCGAGCGUGAGCGAGGCCAGGGCUUUGACGUCGUCGGCCAUCAUUUCCAUGCGCGGCAUGCGAUGACACGUGAGCAUGAGCGCCCCCAGGGCGUGAGCAAAGUCGGCGUCGGGCGCGGGCAUUAGCGGCACAGACGAGCCGCUGCCGAUGUAGACACUGGCGCCGCAAGUCACACCAGCGAGGCGAUUGUCGCUGGUAUCGAGCGACGCGCGGCAGACCGCAGCCCACACUGACUUGAGCGCGCCGCGCGACACCGUGGCCAGCGAUAUGAGGUCCCACGGCGGUAGCCGCGCGGCCACCUCGACGCACAGAUCGAUCUCGUGCUCAAACAGACCGAGCAGCGUGAGCCCGCCGUCUCUGGUGGUUGUCUCGUGGUAAUCGACGUCGUCUUCGGCGAGCGCAGCGGUGGUGGUAGUCUUGUUGUCGCGGUGGUUGCGAUCGCCGACGGUAAUAGGAACGACCGAGCCAUGGAGAGAGGCAGACGUGUGGUCAACCCCAGCCAUGGCGCUCGCGCCGUUGACGAGUGGGACCCCAUCUGCUGUCUCGGCGAGGCUCUCGUGUAGAGCCGAUGUAGGGCCGUGUUGUGUAUGGAGGCCGGCCCAGAAAGGGUUGGUGCCUGCCACGGCCAACGCAGGCGCAACGGCAGUCCACGUACGCAUUGUCCACGACCGGUGAUGCCAUCCGUCGGCAUGGUCAAUGGGCGAUGUGAUGACGAACACAUGCGCCAGGAGCGCGCCGGCCGCGCAGCCCUUGAGCGAUGAGCCGUGCACGGCAAUGUCCCGCAGUCGACGGCACAUCUCACCGAGUGCACUGCCAACCAAGGGUUGGCUGCGCAGCGCAUGACUGCGCAGGACAUUGUCCACCAGACCGUCGACGCGCACACGAUCCAAAAGACGUGCCGCUCGCGCAUCGUCGUCGCCAUCUUGGCUGUCGGCCGAUCGGGGUGGGUCGGUCGGAUGGCGCGCUUGAUCGAGACUGCACACCAGCGUCAGAAUCAGGCGGACACGCGCGAGAGACGCGCGCUUGCCGGGGUCUGUCGGCUCGGGAAUCCGUUGUCCCCGUUCGGCAAAGCGGCGGCCCGUGGCAACGUUGGUCGCAGCGAUUUGGAACGCCAGCGUCAGGAGCAGGUCCGACCCGAGCCUGCCGGCCGCCGCGGCCAGUCCCAUAGCCGAUAGCCACGUGUCGGUGGUGGCGAGGUCGGCCGCCUUGCCAUCCUCGGCGCCCAUGGCACCGGCCAGCCACGCGCUCACGCGACUCGCGCUAGCCGCGCGCUUGACAAACCCGCCCGAGCGACUAUAGGCCGUGGACGCGUCGCUCAACCGGUCGCCCAGCGUGAGGCAUACAAUGACGACCGCACCGCACCGUGUGGCCGCUGCCCAUAGGAUGGUCCGUUCCAGCGCGCCCGGCACAUAAUCUUUGAGGGUGCCCGACGCGAAUGCACUGGGGCGAGCGAGCAUCUGCUCGACCAGGCCACACUUGCUCUGCAGGCGCGGCAGCACGUCUAGCCACAGCCACGCUGCGCCUGUGCGCUUCCAGGCGGGUUCGUCCUGCGGGCAGAUGUGCAUCACGGUGGCGGCAGUUGCACGCUCGGCGGGGCAACUGGUCUCGUCGACGUGCACCAGGGCGUGACAGGGCGACGUUGGUCCGGUUGUGAGAACGUCGACCAACACAGUGCGCGUGCGCGGCGACGCGUGCCACAGGGACAAGAGGUCGUCCCGAUCAAGCCAUGCGAUGGCCGACGCAGCCAGCGCGACAUUGCAGCGCCCCAAGAGGGCGACCAUGCACCCGCGCGGCGGCCUUCUGGGACCGGACCACGGUGUCGGCCAACGCGCUGACAGGCUGUCGUCGCAUUCUCCCUUAGAGACAGACGCCGAGCGCGCGCCACUCACAAUGGGCGCGUCCUUGACGAGGGCCUCGAUGGCGUCGCGCUGGCCGGCAGCGCAAAAGGCCCCCGGCAGCGCGUCGUCGACCGCGAUGGUAUCGUUGCUGUCGGCACACGCAACAAUGUGCACAGCGGGUUGGCCCUUGUGCGUGCCACUGUCGCCCUCGUCGCUGGCGACCGUUUGUGCGGUCUCCAUCGAGACGCUUUUUGGCUCGUCAGUCCUUUUUUUCCAACUCUGUGCGGCACGCGCGACGCACAGACUCUUUUUCAGUCUUGGGGUUGCCAACAAACUCGACGAGGACAAAAUGUGCAGUGUCAAAGAAAAAAACUGUGCAGACGCCGGCCCAGCAACUUUCUGGGCACACUUGGGCGCUUGCGACUUUGUAUUUUCUGUUUCCGUGCUUUGGGGGGGGGGGCUGCGAUGCGGCGCCAUUGGCCAACCCCAACAAAAGGCCAGGCCCGGACGCCAAGACCAGACCCUCAAUGCAUCGACCAGCCACCGACGGCUGCGACCAUAGUCUGCCCAAAAACUAGAGAAAGGCGUCAAAUAUAAAAGAAACCAAUCGCG